AUUGAACGCUGGCGGAAUGCUUUACACAUGCAAGUCGAACGGCAGCACGGGGGCAACCCUGGUGGCGAGUGGCGAACGGGUGAGUAAUACAUCGGAACGUGCCCAGUCGUGGGGGAUAACGUAGCGAAAGUUACGCUAAUACCGCAUACGAUCUACGGAUGAAAGCGGGGGACCGUAAGGCCUCGCGCGAUUGGAGCGGCCGAUAUCAGAUUAGGUAGUUGGUGGGGUAAAGGCUCACCAAGCCUACGAUCUGUAGCUGGUCUGAGAGGACGACCAGCCACACUGGAACUGAGACACGAUCCAGACUCCUACGGGAGGCAGCAGUGGGGAAUUUUGGACAAUGGACGCAAGUCUGAUCCAGCCAUUCCGCGUGCAGGAUGAAGGCCCUCGGGUUGUAAACUGCUUUUGUACGGAACGAAAAGGUCUCUCUUAAUACGGGGGACUCAUGACGGUACCGUAAGAAUAAGCACCGGCUAACUACGUGCCAGCCGCCGCAGUAA
rnacentral:rRNA from 1 species